rnacentral:rRNA from 1 species
UACGUAGGGGGCAAGCGUUGUCCGGAUUUAUUGGGCGUAAAGAGCGUGUAGGCGGCCAGACAGGUCCGUUGUGAAAACUCGAGGCUCAACCUCGAGAUGUCGAUGGAAACCGUCUGGCUAGAGUCCGGAAGAGGAGUGUGGAAUUCCUGGUGUAGCGGUGAAAUGCGUAGAUAUCUGGAGGAACACCGGUGGCGAAGGCGGCCAGCUAGACCAGUUCUGACACUGAGGCGCGACAGCGUGGGGAGCAAACAGG